GAAACCUUCUCAUUGAACCCUUUUUUCUUUUUAAAGAAAAGUUUGGGUCUACAGUGGAUGAUGAGUGUUGCUCUUUUUAUGGAAGAGCUCACUUUAAAUUAAUCAGUUGUUCCUUUUUUGAGAAAAUGAAAAGAGGACUUGAUGUGAUACCUAUCUUCAUCAAGACACUUUUUUCUCCUAUUCAAUAAAAGGGGAGGGACUUAUAAAUCUUUUUGUGCAAACAAAGAACCAAUUUU
rnacentral:misc_RNA from 1 species